rnacentral:rRNA from 1 species
CCUACGGGUGGCAGCAGUGAGGAAUAUUGGUCAAUGGACGAGAGUCUGAACCAGCCAAGUAGCGUGAAGGAUGACUGCCCUAUGGGUUGUAAACUUCUUUUAUAUGGGAAUAAAAUGUUCCACGUGUGGGAUUUUGUAUGUACCAUAUGAAUAAGGAUCGGCUAACUCCGUGCCAGCAGCCGUGGUAAUACGGAGGAUCCGAGCGUUAUCCGGAUUUAUUGGGUUUAAAGGGAGCGUAGGUGGAUUGUUAAGUCAGUUGUGAAAGUUUGCGGCUCAACCGUAAAAUUGCAGUUGAAACUGGCAGUCUUGAGUACAGUAGAGGUGGGCGGAAUUCGUGGUGUAGCGGUGAAAUGCUUAGAUAGCACGAAGAACUCCGAUUGCGAAGGCAGUUCACUGGACUGCAACUGACACUGAGGCUCGAAAGUGUGGGUAUCAAACAGGAUUAGAUACCCCUGUAGUC